rnacentral:tRNA from 1 species
CUGUUGGUAGCUCAGUGGUAGAGUGCAUGCUUUGUGUGUAUGACGUCCUGGGUUCAAAUCCUGUAAAAUUGU